GACGAACGCUGGCGGCGUGCCUAAUACAUGCAAGUCGAACGCAUUUUCUUUCACCGUAGCUUGCUACACCGAAAGAAAAUGAGUGGCGAACGGGUGAGUAACACGUGGGUAACCUGCCCAUCAGCGGGGGAUAACACUUGGAAACAGGUGCUAAUACCGCAUAAUUCCAUUUACCGCAUGGUAAAUGGAUGAAGGGCGCUUUUGCGUCACUGAUGGAUGGACCCGCGGUGCAUUAGCUAGUUGGUGGGGUAACGGCCUACCAAGGCUGCGAUGCAUAGCCGACCUGAGAGGGUGAUCGGCCACACUGGGACUGAGACACGGCCCAGACUCCUACGGGAGGCAGCAGUAGGGAAUCUUCGGCAAUGGACGCAAGGCUGACCGAGCAACGCCGCGUGAGUGAAGAAGGUUUUCGGAUCGUAAAACUCUGUUGUUAGAGAAGAACAAGGAUGAGAGUGGAAAGUUCAUCCCUUGACGGUAUCUAACCAGAAAGCCACGGCUAACUACGUG
rnacentral:rRNA from 1 species